UGGGGAAUAUUGCACAAUGGGCGCAAGCCUGAUGCAGCCAUGCCGCGUGUAUGAAGAAGGCCUUCGGGUUGUAAAGUACUUUCAGUCGGGAGGAAGGUGGUAAGGUUAAUAACCUUGGCAAUUGACGUUACCGACAGAAGAAGCACCGGCUAACUCCGUGCCAGCAGCCGCGGUAAUACGGAGGGUGCAAGCGUUAAUCGGAAUUACUGGGCGUAAAGCGCACGCAGGCGGUUGAUUGAGUCAGAUGUGAAAUCCCCGGGCUUAACCCGGGAAUUGCAUCUGAUACUGGUCAGCUAGAGUCUUGUAGAGGGGGGUAGAAUUCCAUGUGUAGCGGUGAAAUGCGUAGAGAUGUGGAGGAAUACCGGUGGCGAAGGCGGCCCCCUGGGCAAAGACUGACGCUCAUGUGCGAAAGCGUGGGGAGCAAACAGG
rnacentral:rRNA from 1 species